CGCUCGUCUCAAAGAUUAAGCCAUGCAUGUGUAAGUAUAAAUAAUUUUACUUUGAAACUGCGAAUGGCUCAUUAUAUCAGUUAUAGUUUAUUAGAAAUAUUUUACUACUUGGAUAACCGUAGUAAUUCUAGGGCUAAUACAUGAGUAAAACCUCAACUUCGGAAGAGGUGUGUUUAUUAGUAUGAAAACCAUAUAUCUUCGGAUAUAAUAGUGAGUAAUAAUAACCUUUCAUAUCGUAUGUCGUAAGAUAACGAUAGUUCUUUCAAGUUUCUGCCCUAUCAGCUUUCGAUGGUAGUAUAUGGGACUACCAUGGCAGUAACGGGUAACGAAGAAUUUGGGUUCGAUUUCGGAGAGGGAGCCUGAGAGAUGGCUACCACAUCCAAGGAAGGCAGCAGGCGCGUAAAUUACCCAAUCCUGACAUAGGGAGGUAGUGACAAUAAAUCACAAUGCGGAACUUUUAGUUUUGCAAUUGGAUUGAGAACAAUGUACAAAUGUUAU
rnacentral:rRNA from 1 species